UACAGAGGGUGCAAGCGUUAAUCGGAUUUACUGGGCGUAAAGGGCGCGUAGGUGGAAGCGUAAGUGAGAUGUGAAAUCCCCGGGCUUAACCUGGGAACUGCAUCUUAUACUGCGUAUCUUGAGUGCAAUAGAGGGUAGUGGAAUUUCCGGUGUAGCGGUGAAAUGCGUAGAUAUCGUAAGGAAGACCAGUGGCGAAGGCGAGUCUCUGGACAGUUACCGACGCUGAGGCACGAAGGUCAGGGGAGCAAACGGG
rnacentral:rRNA from 1 species